rnacentral:lncRNA from 1 species
CGGCCGGCCAGGCAUGGUGGCACACACCAUCAGUCCCAGCACUCACAGGGCAGAAGAAGGUAGAUCUCUGCCGCAGCCUAGUCUGUUCUCAGCUCUGCCUCAAUAAACAAACCGGCACUCCCGGAAGCUGAGGGAGAAGGAAACUCAAGCAUGGAAACUGCCUGCUCAGCCCGACGCUCAGAUAGAGGAGCAUCUUCUACAGUAACUGACCACAGCUUCACUGAUCAUGACUGUAAAGAAGUACCACAGGACUCUGCUUCUGCAGCAACGUGCUGGUGAGAAACACAGAAAAAGGAAAUAGGAAAGCCUGCAAGCUUUCACCUAAUGAAGGGGAUCAAAGACUAACAAACUCCCAAACACCAAAACCAAAAGCCCAAACUUCCAAUCUACCCAACCUGAGCUCCCUGCAGUGUGCAAGUGGGUGAGGUAGGGGUGGGUGGGGCUGAGAUGCAGCACUGUUGUGAGUGGAGCUGUCUGGGACCAUAUGGUAAGCUAACCUGCGUGCGUCCUGCUUCUCCCAAGCUCACCUUGCUCUUGAUCUGCUUGGCCGUGUCAGUGAGGAAGAUGGAGGAGUUGGGGUCACUGGCACUCAUCUUGGUCUGAGCGCCCUGCAGGGCAGGGAAGAAGGUCGAGUGCAGCAGGGCAGGUUUAGGAUGGCCGAUCCUGGGGGCCACGUCCCUUGUCAUUCUGAAGUACGGAUCCUGGUCAAUGGCACACGGGAUGAGGCACUGGAUAUCUGUCCUGUCUCGGAAGAUCUUCGGGAAAGAGUUGCUGAACGAUGGCGCGGCCUGGACAGCAGGAAAACUGAUCUUCCCUGAAAGAGGGGAGACACUCGUGUGUGCUGGGCCGACCUACUGCUCUGGGGAAUGAAUCCAGUUAAGGCAGUCAGCAAUGGUUUUCCUCCCCCCUGGAAAAACUAAAGAAGGCCACAAAACACAGAAAAGGAGGUAAAGCCUAGCCCUCUCCAAGUCCCAUCUUCAUGGCGAUGGUCGGUGUGCUCAGCUGUGUCCACACCAUGCAUGGCUGUGGAACAUAUUCUCCUUCAAUGUAUCAGGCUGUCAUGGCCACCAGUGUCACCACAGUGGUCAUUCCCAGGAGCUCGCUACUCUUCACAACUCCAUAGCAAGGCACCUCCUUCCUUCUUACAAAUGUGAAUUUAGGCUCAGGGUGUUUCUGUGGACAGUGCACAGCAUGGGAUGCACCGAGUGAGGACUGAAGUCGGCGCCAGGCAGGCAGGGCAGUGACUCUUCACAAGACACCGCUCCUGGACUGCUCACCUCAACUGUGGAUCACCCUGAUGGCAGGACUCCAGUGUCACGUAUGUCUCAAGAGCAUGAAGAUCACGCUUCACUUGCUGGGAAUGAAUCUGACUGAGCUAUCCAAGAGGAGGGGAGGGGACAGGAGCAGGCAAGCACAGACAACAGAGGCCUCUCUCAAGUCUCAAAGAGAUGAUGGCCUACAAAGGCCAACGCAUUGGAAUGACAGAGACACGUAGAGGACAUAACCAUGGUUUACAGUUGGCAAAUACUGUAUGUAUCAGUGUGUGUGUGAGACCGUGGGAGGACAGUACAGAGGGGUAGGAGGGGCCUGCAGUUAGUCAAAAUCCUUCUCUCUCUCUCUCUCUGUAUGUAUGUAUGUAUGUAUCUAUCCAUCCAUCUAUCUCAGAACUCAUUAUAUAGAUCAGGCUGGCCUCAAAAUCAGAGAUCUGCCCACUUGGCUUUGGGUGCUAGGAUUAAAGGAGUCUAUCACCAUACCCAGCUAAAGAUUCUUAGAACUGGAGAACCUGGGGCCCAGCGAACACUCCCACGAGAGAGCAGCUGAUACACCUGUCCUCCCAUCACUCUCCUGGGCCCUACCAAGCUCUGUAGUGAUUGGGGUCACACCAGCACAUUGGAGAAUUCCAGUCAGUCUUAUGUCUGUCUGUCUGAGUCUGGUGGAAUACCCACCUCUGGAUGUUUUAUAUGAAGUGCUAGCAUCUCAGGUCUCUGAGCAGGCGCGUUACCAGAGACACUUGGGCUGGGCAUGAGGCUCAGUGGUAGCAUUUGCUAUAUGCAUGAAUCUAUCCUUGGAAUGCACGCCUAUCUGCACACACCAUGUACGUUAGCCCACUAGCUCAGGCUCUGGCGUUGCCGCACUGUGCUGGCUAGCUUCCUCUGAGCUCUGCCUGCUGCCCUCGGAGGGGUCCUCUUACCGAUGCAGUCACUGUCCGUAAAGCCGAAAAUGCCUUUCACUUGGUUGAAGGUGACGUGCUUCUGAAUCUUCACCACGUUCCUGUAGAAGCCCGGGCUCUGCCUGCAGAGACAAGCAGAGACACACCCGAGAUGAAAGGCAGCGGGGCUAAAGCUGGGCAGCAGAGAGGCGCGGUGCCAGAAACACACUGGGUACCACACGUGUCCAGGCCCCGGAUAACAGGAACAUACGGAGAGGUCAUCUGUAGGCCUACAACUACAGCAGCCCCGCCUCUAGCCAGUGCUGGGAAGAGCUGUGGAAGGGUCAGAACAGAGGUAGGCACAGAGGGCAGAGCUGACAGAACGUCCACAUCUCAGCAUGCUGUGUGCAUCUCACACAAGAAGCCCCACAACUGUCUGCUGACAUGACAGUGUGUGGGAAGACACAUGUGCCCAGCUGGAAUGCUCUGGAACCGAUGGGUGCGGCAGAGGGUGUGCCCUGUGCAGGUGCUCCUGGAGUGGUGCUCUGUUCUUUGGUCAGGGCUGGCACCAUGCUCAGCCACAGGAUGGACCAUACUGUUUGGUGUGAGGGUCAUGGACAUGAUGCUUAGAUCCGUGGCAGCUGUUCUGACACCAGAGGAACAGCAGGCUGCAACAGAGCAUGGAAAUGAGCAGAAUCCAGAGUGCUGCCUUCUUUUUUAGUUUUAUUUAUGAGUGCACUGCCUGCAUGUAUGUAUGUAUGUGUACCAUGUACAUGCUGAGUGACUACAGAAUCCAGAAGCCUCUGAGACAUGUCCCUAGCCCCCACCUCUGGUGGCACCUUAGACUGGACUUGUUGACAGCACUGCUUUCUUCAGCCUAGUCCUUUGCUAGGCACUGGAAACACAGAAAGGGGGGAAGUGUGGACUGAAUGCAGGGUCUGGCAGGAGCUAUGCUAGAGGCUGAUGAAGUGGAAACUUAACAUUCUUUGUAAAGUUGGUUAGAUGGUGUUUUGCUGGGGCAAACACAUGAAGGAAUGUUUCGUUAAAGUGGACACAAGUGGAGCGCUAAGGCAGACUGGUGAAGGAGGUUUCACUGAAGCAGACACAGGAGAAAGGAUGUUCUGCUAAAGCAAGCACGUGGAAGGACAUGCGAUGAAUUCUUUGCUAAUGCCAGGCAUGUAUUGGUUUGUCUUUUGGUUUGUCUUAUAUCUCAUAGUUGAGCUGCGUUUGUCAGAUUCCAUACAGAGAAACAGAACAAAGACUUCUGGUGGUAUGCUGCAGUUUCUUGCCACUUCCCAGGACUCGGGCGAUUAGAUGCACAUGCUGAGGCGAUGCACUGGGGGACAUGUGAUAUUUGGAGGGUAUAAGUAAAACUCAACGGAGUGAAAGAAACAGAGCUUGCCUUGGUGGUACAGCUGGGCAACGCUUGUAGGUUUCAAGUCUUCACUGAUCUUUGCUUUCCUGAGAGAGGCAUAGCUGAGAACGUCUUCUGGUGUUCCUGCAGGCUGAGGCCUGACUGUCUCUGCUAGGUCGACUCACUGCUGUUGCUAUCCCGACUCUACCAAACUGCACUGCUGGUGUAUCUGUGAAGUGUUUGCCAGUGGAUCGAGCUGUCGAUGCUGACCUGUGAACUGAACUGCUGGUUUCCAGGCAACACAGAUGGGAGUUGCUCCAAAGAACCUUCCUAAACAGGUCCACUUCCCCUGUAUCCUUUCUUCUCCAGUACUUCUGGUGGGUGGUGGGUAACAAGGGAGGUUAAAGGCUUUAAGUACCAUCAUUAAAAAUAGGAUUUG